rnacentral:rRNA from 1 species
AGGAAUCUGCCUGGUAGUGGGGGAUAACGCUCGGAAACGGACGCUAAUACCGCAUACGUCCUACGGGAGAAAGCAGGGGACCUUCGGGCCUUGCGCUAUCAGAUGAGCCUAGGUCGGAUUAGCUAGUUGGUGAGGUAAUGGCUCACCAAGGCGACGAUCCGUAACUGGUCUGAGAGGAUGAUCAGUCACACUGGAACUGAGACACGGUCCAGACUCCUACGGGAGGCAGCAGUGGGGAAUAUUGGACAAUGGGCGAAAGCCUGAUCCAGCCAUGCCGCGUGUGUGAAGAAGGUCUUCGGAUUGUAAAGCACUUUAAGUUGGGAGGAAGGGCAUUAACCUAAUACGUUGGUGUCUUGACGUUACCGACAGAAUAAGCACCGGCUAACUCUGUGCCAGCAGCCGCGGUAAUACAGAGGGUGCAAGCGUUAAUCGGAAUUACUGGGCGUAAAGCGCGCGUAGGUGGUUCGUUAAGUUGGAUGUGAAAUCCCCGGGCUCAACCUGGGAACUGCAUUCAAAACUGACGAGCUAGAGUAUGGUAGAGGGUGGUGGAAUUUCCUGUGUAGCGGUGAAAUGCGUAGAUAUAGGGAAGGAACACCAGUGGCGAAGGCGACCACCUGGACUGAUACUGACACUGAGGUGCG